AAUGGAAUCAAAUACGAAAUAUUCACAGAAAAAAGUCUUCAUUUAUUGGGAAAGAAUCAAUAUACUUUUAAUGUCAAAUCGGGAUUCACUAAGAAAGAAAUAAAGCAUUGGGUCAAACUCUUCUUUGGUGUUAAGAUGGUAGCUGUGAAUAGCCAUCGACUACGUGGAAAAGGUAGAAGAAUAGGACCUAUUCUGGGCCAUACAAUGUAUUACAGACGUAUGAUCAUUACCCUUCAACCGGGUUAUUCUAUUCCACUUCUAGAUAGAGAAAUAAACAAAAGUAGAAUGAAUGAAAAAAGACACAGUUUGGAAGUUAGACCUUUUUAUAGGACUCUCUUUCAAUUUCAAAAAAGAGGAAACAAGUGA
rnacentral:rRNA from 1 species